UCACCCACCAAAAGCCCUUACCGAACUUACUCCUUGUUCCAGCAAGGUCUCUAUUUCAUCGUGACUUAAUUUGUAUGAUGGAGAAGGAUCCAAAAGCGGGCAACGAACAUCCAGAGGUCGAUUUGUAGUGUGCUUUGACGACGGGUUGGAAGAUUUCGGUUUUUAUCAAGGUAUUCUUUUUGCCCUUCAUAAUCCUAGCUACCAGCAAAAUCUCUAGUGCGGAGAAAUUAUUAGUAUGUGUACCACUGUGGAAACCUUGAAAAAAGCGAAGUAUUUUGAUUAUUUGGUUAUUUCUCGGAUACAGAUCAAAUGUUAUUUUUCCGUUAUGACAUUUCAUAGUUGGCUUUU